rnacentral:rRNA from 1 species
AUUGAACGCUGGCGGCAGGCCUAACACAUGCAAGUCGAGCGGAGCGGCGGACGGGUGAGUAAUUACUAGGAAUCUGACUGGUAGUUGGGGAUAACGUCCGGCAACGGGCGCUAAUACCUCCUACUAUCAGAUGAGCCUAGGUCGGAUUAGCUAGUUGGUGGGGUAAAGGCCUACCAAGGUGACGAUCCGUAACUGGUCUGAGAGGAUGAUCAGUCACACUGGAACUGAGACACGGUCCAGACUCGUACGGGAGGCAGCAGUGGGGAAUAUUGGACAAUGGGCGAAAGCCUGAUCCAGCCAUGCCGCGUGUGUGAAGAAGGUCUUCGGAUUGUAAAGCACUUUAAGUUGGGAGGCGUUACUAACAGAAUAAGCACCGGCUAACUUCGUGCAAGCAGCCGCGGUAAUUC